rnacentral:tRNA from 1 species
CCCUCGAUGGCCUAGCGGUCUAGGGCGACCUCACAGAUGGGACUAUGGUGUAAAGGGUAACAUUCUUCUGGAUGAGUGAGAUACAACAUCUUACUCUGGAAGGGUUCUAAGUUCGAUUCUUGGUAGUCCUCUUGUGGGA